AUUCAGGCGUUACGAACGAAGGAGGGCCUUUAGCUGAGCCUUUUUUCUUAACGGGUAUCGAAUCUGCCAUCUUGUUCUUUUUCUGAUCAAAGAAUGAUAUAGCAAGUUUGGAUAAUCUAUAAUCAGUGUGGAAUCGAUCGAUAAAAAACUUCAAAGUCAAUGUACACGUUUUAGGACAAGUGUACAUACAAUGACUUUUGAGUAGACUUUAUUUAAGUUUUCACAGCCGAAAUGGAUUAACGACUGUUGGUUCGUACAACCUCAGGUAUAUCAUCUAAAAUACCGCAUACUAGCGUGCUCUCCUUGAUGCCUUCUGUUCGCUUCAAGAAAAGGAGCCAUUGGAGCUUCUUUGACUGAUUUGAAAGGAUCUGUUUCAAAAUUAUCUUCAAUUGUAUUUUUACCCUCGGCAUUUGAAGAGCCUUGAAUGAAUGCAAAGGCAUUAACUAAAUCUUCGAGUUCCAAAUCUUUCCAAGCCGGUUCAUGCCUAAGCUGUUUGUUUUUCAUUAAGAUUAGAUUUGCACUAGAAUGUUGAAUAGUCAUCUCAUCUUCUGUAACAGGUGGUAAGUGUUCUACUCGCACUUCGACAUCGUCAACUGGAAGUCUAUCUUUUAGCCAAUCCGAGGCAAACAAAACUACUCCCGGUUUAUUCAUAUGAACAUAAUUGUAAUUCGAAUCCAUUAAUUGUUUUACUGAUUCCAAGUAGGAGACUUAUGGUGCUUUUAUACGGUUGGUGUUAUUGGAGAAGUCGGUGGUAAGUGUGUAAACAAAGCAUUUAGCAGCAAAGUCUACUAGUUGGGGGGAGGGAGAUCUUUCCAUGAAAAUCAAUUAUAAGAAUUCUAGAUUAAUUUCUUAUUCACAUAAUUCUAUGAACUUUUAAGUAGAAAUAAAAAUCAGUUAGGUGGUUUGCUACUAUUCUUCUCAAAACCUUCGUCUCUUAAUCUAUUUAUUCCUAUUGGCAUGUUAUUUUUCUUGAUAAAUAAGGUAAAUAUAUGUGCUUGCUUAGCUUACAAAUUUCAAA